AUUGAACGCUGGCGGCAGGCCUAACACAUGCAAGUCGAGCGGCAGCGGGAAAGUAGCUUGCUACUUUUGCCGGCGAGCGGCGGACGGGUGAGUAAUGCCUGGGGAUCUGCCCAGUCGAGGGGGAUAACAGUUGGAAACGACUGCUAAUACCGCAUACGCCCUACGGGGGAAAGGAGGGGACCUUCGGGCCUUUCGCGAUUGGAUGAACCCAGGUGGGAUUAGCUAGUUGGUGGGGUAAUGGCUCACCAAGGCGACGAUCCCUAGCUGGUCUGAGAGGAUGAUCAGCCACACUGGAACUGAGACGCGGUCCAGACUCCUACGGGAGGCAGCAGUGGGGAAUAUUGCACAAUGGGGGAAACCCUGAUGCAGCCAUGCCGCGUGUGUGAAGAAGGCCUUCGGGUUGUAAAGCACUUUCAGCGAGGAGGAAAGGUUGUUGGCUAAUACCCAGCAACUGUGACGUUACUCGCAGAAGAAGCACCGGCUAACUCCGUGCCAGCCGCCGCGGUAAGAC
rnacentral:rRNA from 1 species